rnacentral:lncRNA from 1 species
CCCGGGCUGGCCCAGCCCCCGCCCCGGGCCGGCCAUAGGGCGUGGGGGGUGGGGAGCGGGGGAGGGUGGGGGCCGGGCCGGGAUUGGGGGGGGCGGGGGCGCGGCUUUGUGGCGGCAGCGGACCGUGGAGGCCGGGUGCAGCCCCGUCGGCUCCGCGCUCCUAGCAGAAAGGGCUUUUCUACGCCCCCCGCCCAUCACUUGGAUCUGGUCUGGGUAAGGAGGGUUUUUUUUUUUUUUUUUCUGGAAGUCCCCCCCCNNNNNNNNNNNNNNNNNNNNNNNNNNNNNNNNNNNNNNNNNNNNNNNNNNNNNNNNNNNNNNNNNNNNNNNNNNNNNNNNNNNNNNNNNNNNNNNNNNNCUGGAAGUCCCCCCCCCACCUCAACCCGCGGUGAAGGAUUUGAGGCUGGGCUCCAAUCUAGGCGGAGGCUGCAGGGCCCGCGGGGCGCCCCCCGCCCCGCGCACGCCUCCCAGGAGCCCUGGAAGGCACAACCCUGGGGGCCCCCCUUGCACCCCCAGAGGCAGCAGCGGCGCUAUUGCCCAGUGCCAUUCACCAAGGUGGUGAAAUUCACACGCCCAUCGAGAAUGCACAGGUGAGGGUGUCUCUUGCCAACACCCUCGCCCAUCCUGUCAAGACAGCAGCAUGUCAGAUCUCAAACUCAGGUAAGUGGACUUUCCAUGUGGGCCUGAUGGGGUGGACACCGCCCGAGAGGUUGUCCCUGUAGCUGUCUGAGGCACUGAGCUGCUCAGAGCUCUCGUUUAGGUUUUAUAAACAAAGACAGAGUCUGGGUAGGUGAGCCAGAACCAUGCAGUGAGACGCAUUGUGCAACUCAGUAUUUAUUUCUUUAGCACAGCUAGGACUUAAAUAUGGUCAAAACAUAUUCUCCUUUUAAUUUACACAAACAAAUAUGUUCCCGGGCUGACACCUCCUGUGCCAAGUUUCUAGGGGAAACGAAAUUCUACUGUGAGAAGAGAAACCACCAGAGAGAAAAGGGUGGAAAAGCCAUCACUGUCUGCUUCGCACGUCCGAGCUGGGCUUCUCGGAGGGGUGUUUCAGAACUGGGCUGCUGCCUCUUGGUCUCUUUCUGUCUUUGUUGCAGAUAAACCUGCCAGUAAUUUCAGCAAAUGAAACGUGGAACAUGUAAAGGCCAAAUGAUGGAAAACACUCCGGUUUUAAUAAAAGGUCUGCUCGGCUGAGACUCCUCUGUCCUGCUAGUCAGGAGAUGCAAAGAUUUAUCCAGAGAGGGGCUGAUGAAUUGAAGAAACAGAAAUGAGGCCAAUGUGAGUUGCCUUUCAAGAGCUGUGCUAAUAUAAAACCAAGCAACUUGAAUUUAUUCCAAGAGGGGAUUAAAGCAACAUGUUAUUUUGAGUGAUUGCUUAAUUUAUUGAGCUGUGGCUAGAUCGGUAAUGAAAUACAGCCCUUGCAACUGAUAACCUCUCUCUGUAAUUGAACUUCUACAAUUAAGAAAUAUUUUCUGAGAGUUUCUCUGGAACAGCUCAGAAUUUUUAGUCUCCGUAGUCAGGUACUUUUGAACACUCAUUUUCUAGGCAAGUUUUCCUUUCUUUCUUUAAGGACUGACAGGCUUAUGUUAAUAAGGAAAAUAAGCAGCAUUUUACUGAAUGGCUUGUGUAUACCAGGCACAUAAUAUACAUUAUCUCUAGUCCCCACCACAGCCCAAGAAAGUCAUUCUUAUUUGUCCCUGUUUUAUAGAGAUGAGGCUCCUAGAUGUUAAGUGAUUUCCCAGGGUGGUGGUGUCCAAGAUGAUAGCUACUAGUCACUUGUGGCUAUUUCUGUGUAAAUUAGUUUAAAAUGUUUUAAUCUAAAAUUUCACUGCUUAGGUUGCACUGAGCAGGGCUAGUGGCCACCACACUGGAUGCUGCAGAUAUAGAUCAGUUCGAUUACUGCAGAAAGUUCCACUGCUCAGCGCCAUUCCAGAGGUUCCCUAGGUAGAGACAGGCAGUGCUAGGUUUCAACCUCAAGCUAAUGGGCUUUGAAGGCAGCAUCUACCAUAGCCCUUGUUUCCUUCUCUUCCUUUGGCUGAGACAGAAGGACUAGAGCAGUGAUUCUAAACCCUGGCUCCACAUUAAAAUUACCUGGACUCUUAUAUAAUAUCCUAUCUGGCCAUUUUAAUGACUCCAGAUAGGCAAAAAUAUCUGUAAAACUGAAUUAUUUCCUUUAUCAAUGUUUUAUUAUCUAUUAACAUAACUAUACUGACUUUCUAAAAUUUUGGUGAAUUGAACAUUAAAAAAAAAAUUACCUGGACUGAAACUUCCCUGGUAGUCUAGGAAAGCAUGGAUCUGCCCUCUUGAUUCGAGGAGCGGGGCGGGGGGGCACUGGGUUCGACUCCUGGUCAGGGAACUAGAUCCCACAUGCCACAACUAAGACCCGGCGGCUGCUGCUGCUAAGUCGCUUCAGUCGUGUCCGACUCUGUGCAACC